rnacentral:rRNA from 1 species
AGGAGAGUUUGAUCCUGGCUCAGGAUGAACGCUAGCGGCAGGCUUAACACAUGCAAGUCGAGGGGCAGCGAGAUGUAGCAAUACAUUGUCGGCGACCGGCGCAAGGGUGCGUAACGCGUGAGUAACAUGCCCGUAACAGAGGGAUAAUCCAUGGAAACGUGGUCUAAUACCACAUAUAAUAUAUUUUAGGCAUCUAUUAUAUAUGAAAGUUUCGAUGGUUACGGAUUGGCUCGCGUAACAUUAGCUAGUUGGUAGGGUAACGGCCUACCAAAGCGACGAUGUUUAGGGGUCCUGAGAGGGAGGUCCCCCACACUGGAACUGAGACACGGUCCAGACUCCUACGGGAGGCAGCAGUGAGGAAUAUUGGACAAUGGAUGGAAAUCUGAUCCAGCCAUGCCGCGUGCGGGACGACGGCCCUAUGGGUUGUAAACCGCUUUUGUAUGAGAGCAAUAAGGUUCACGCGUGGACCGAUGAGAGUAUCAUACGAAUAAGCAUCGGCUAACUCCGUGCCAGCAGCCGCGGUAAUACGGAGGAUGCGAGCGUUAUCCGGAUUUAUUGGGUUUAAAGGGUGCGUAGGCGGUUAUUCAAGUCUGUGGUGAAAAGUCUGAGCUUAACUUAGAUCGUGCCAUGGAAACUGAUUAUCUUGAAUGAGGUUGCCGUUGGCGGAAUGUGUAGUGUAGCGGUGAAAUGCUUAGAUAUUACACAGAACACCGAUUGCGAAGGCAGCUGACGAAACCUUGAUUGACGCUGAUGCACGAAAGUGCGGGUAUCUGAACAGGAUUAGAUACCCUGGUAGUCCCCU